AACAUGGCCGCCACCUCCAGGAUCAUGGCGUCUUUGACAUUGACACCAAGCAGCUAAAGCCUGUAUAUAGCAAACCCCAAUCCAAUCUCUUAUGUAGGAAUCACUGAUCUCUUGGUUGCCAUCUUCAACGCCGGAUCAUUUUUUAUCCCUGCAUGGCCAAUCCUGAUAUCUUCUGCUAGAAUUGCCGUUCGCUUGGUUACCGGAUUGAUCCCUGCAUGGCCGAUCGUUCUGUUGCCAAGCUCAACGCCGGAUCAUUCGUCUAAGCUGGAACCGCACUAGCUAAUGCAUUACCAUGUGUAUGUGCAAAGGCAUGCACCGUCAAUUCUCCAUGCUGAAAUUCCAAUCUAUGUGGUAGAUCAGACAGUUCCUAGCAUCAUUCCCGAUCUGGAGAGCUACACCACUUCACCGGUAUCAAGGGGAACAAUAUGUAGGCGCUCAAGGAGGCAAGAACAUGAUCGAAGGUGACAGCACCGGUGAUGAUGUACUACUCCCUGAUUGAUGGGAUGAGGCUCCAAUGGCAAACAAGAGUAUCAACGGGAACAAUAUGUAGGCGCUCAAGGAGGAAACAUGGUCGGAGAUGACGCCACGAGCGGCCAAAAGGAGAAAAAUGAUGAUGUAC